ensembl:lncRNA
UUUAAACCAUCUCUGUGAAGACGCUUUUAAGUCAAUGUCCAGAGCACGUUUACGCUCUUUUUAAUUUCUCUAUAGCAUUAGAGACAAGGUUUCACCAUGUUGCCGGAGUUGAUCUUGAACUCCUGGGCUUAAGCCGCCUCAACUUCUCAAGGUUUUGGAAUUACAGGUGUGAGCCCCUGUGCCUGGCCUGAAGCCCUCAGAAGUAAACAAUGCUGCCAGCACCUUGAUUUGGGACUUCUCAUCUCCAGAACUCAACAGAAAAAAAAUUGUCAGCACUGUUCCAAUGGGCUUCUUCCACAACCAAGCAUGCUGACUACACAGGAAGCACUUGACUCAGAACUUAAAUAUUACCAUGAUGACUUCAGCAGGGAAAAAUGAGAUUAAUUUGAGUUCCAUGUCAUUAUUUUUCGGUCCUCUAUGACCACCCAGAUGUUUGAAAUUGAUCAUCACUGACAGUUUCAACAUUUGGUCUAGCAAUUCCUUAGAAAUCCAAGGUAUGCUGACAAAAUCUAGUUUCCUGAAU